rnacentral:rRNA from 1 species
UACGUAGGGUGCAAGCGUUGUUCGGAAUCAUUGGGCGUAAAGCGCGUGUAGGCGGUCAACUAAGUCGGGUGUGAAAUCCCUGGGCUCAACCGAGGAAGUGCAUCCGAAACUAGUUGGCUGGAAGACGGUAGAGGAAGGUGGAAAUUCCUAGUGUAGAGGUGAAAUUCGUAGAUAUUAGGAGGAAUACCGGUGGCGAAGGCGGCCUCUGGACCGUUCUUGACGCUGAGACGCGAAAGCGUGGGGAGCAAACAGG